UACGUAGGGUGCAGGCGUUAAUCGGAAUUACUGGGCGUAAAGCGUGCGCAGGCGGUCUCUUAAGACAGGUGUGAAAUCCCCGGGCUUAACCUGGGAACUGCGCUUGUAACUGAGAGGCUUGAGUGCGGCAGAGGGGGGUGGAAUUCCACGUGUAGCAGUGAAAUGCGUAGAGAUGUGGAGGAACACCGAUGGCGAAGGCAGCCCCCUGGGUCGACACUGACGCUCAUGCACGAAAGCGUGGGGAGCAAACAGGAUUAGAAACCCCAGUAGUCC
rnacentral:rRNA from 1 species